rnacentral:misc_RNA from 1 species
GAUGAAGAACGCAGCGAAAUGCGAUAAGUAGUGUGAAUUGCAGAAUUCCGUGAAUCAUCGAAUCUUUGAACGCACAUUGCGCCUUCUGGUAUUCCGGAAGGCAUGCCUGUUCGAGAGUCAUUAACAACCGUUUCGAUCCCUUUCUUUCAGAAAUUACAAAGAGGAAAAGGGUUUGGUUAUGGUGGAGGAGGGAAAGGGAGCGUUUAGCCUGUAAAAAAAGAGGCUGUGUUCCGCCUCCCCCCCAGAAGUGUACGGGCGGUCGUGUGCGCCCACGCAUCGAGGUGUUGUAAAAGCUGCCACGGCACUUUUCACCUGUGCAGUGCGAGAUUGGCCAGCCGGUUUAAAAACCCCUCCAAACAAUCAAAGGUUGACCUCGGAUCAGGUAGGGAUACCCGCUGAACUUAAGCAUAUCAAUAAGCGGAGGA